rnacentral:rRNA from 1 species
UAGUCCAGACCGUAAACGGUGGGCACUAGUUGUGGGAACCUUCCACGGUUUCUGCGACGCAGCUAACGCAUUAAGUGCCCCGCCUGGGGAGUACGAUCGCAAGAUUAAAACUCAAAGGAAUUGACGGGGCCCCGCACAAGCAGCGGAGCAUGCGGCUUAAUUCGACGCAACGCGAAGAACCUUACCAAGGCUUGACAUAUAGGGAAAAGUGGCAGAGAUGUCAUGUCCGCAAGGGCCCUAUACAGGUGGUGCAUGGUUGUCGUCAGCUCGUGUCGUGAGAUGUUGGGUUAAGUCCCGCAACGAGCGCAACCCUCGUUCUGUGUUGCCAGCAUUUAGUUGGGGACUCACAGGAGACUGCCGGGGUUAACUCGGAGGAAGGUGGGGAUGACGUCAAAUCAUCAUGCCCCUUAUGUCUUGGGCUGCACGCAUGCUACAAUGGCCGGUACAGAGGGCUGCAAUACCGUAAGGUGGAGCGAAUCCCAAAAAGCCGGUCUCAGUUCGGAUUGAGGUCUGCAACUCGACCUCAUGAAGUUGGAGUUGCUAGUAAUCGUAGAUCAGCAACGCUACGGUGAAUACGUUCCCGGGGCUUGUACACACCGCCCGUCACGUCACGAAAGUCGGUAACACCCAAAGUCAGUGGCCCAACC